AUUGAACGCUGGCGGCAGGCCUAACACAUGCAAGUCGAGCGGUUGACGGGAGCUUGCUCCCUGAUUCAGCGGCGGACGGGUGAGUAAUGCCUAGGAAUCUGCCUAUUAGUGGGGGACAACGUUUCGAAAGGAACGCUAAUACCGCAUACGUCCUACGGGAGAAAGCAGGGGACCUUCGGGCCUUGCGCUAAUAGAUGAGCCUAGGUCGGAUUAGCUUGUCGGUGAGGUAAUGGCUCACCAAGGCGACGAUCCGUAACUGGUCUGAGAGGAUGAUCAGUCACACUGGAACUGAGACACGGGCCAGACUCCUACGGGAGGCAGCAGUGGGGAAUAUUGGACAAUGGGCGAAAGCCUGAUCCAGCCAUGCCGCGUGUGUGAAGAAGGUCUUCGGAUUGUAAAGCACUUUAAGUUGGGAGGAAGGGUUGUAGAUUAAUACCUUGCUGUUUUGACGUUACCGACAGAAUAAGCACCGGCUAACUCUGUGCCAGCCGCCGCCGUAA
rnacentral:rRNA from 1 species